GAUGAACGCUGGCGGCGUGCCUAAUACAUGCAAGUCGAGCGAACGGACGAGAAGCUUGCUUCUCUGAUGUUAGCGGCGGACGGGUGAGUAACACGUGGAUCACCUACCUAUAAGACUGGGAUAACUUCGGGAAACCGGAGAUAAUACCGGAUCAUAUUUUGAACCGCAUGGUUCAAAAGUGAAAGACGGUCUUGCUGUCACUUAUAGAUGGAUCCGCGCUGCUUUGGCGAGUUGGUAAGGUAACGGCUUACCAAGGCAACGACGCAUAGCCGACCUGAGAGUGAGAUCGGCCACUCUAGAACUGAGACGCGGCCCAGACCUCUACGAGGGGCAGGAGGAGGGUAUCGGCCGAAAGGCGCAAACGUCUGACAGAGCAACGCCGCGUGAGAGAUGAAGGUCUUCGGUGCGUAAAACUCUGUUAGUAGGGAAAAACAUAUGUGUAAGUAACUGGGCGUAUCGACACGGCACCUAAACAGAAAGCCGCGGCUCACCGCG
rnacentral:rRNA from 1 species